CAAAGCAUGUAUUCUAUCGCCUUUCCUGAUUUUUCAGGGAGGGAGGAAAGUCCGGACAGCACAGAGCGCAACACUUCCUAACGGGAAGGCUCCGAUUUUAUCGGUGACGGAAAGUGCCACAGAAAGGGAAACUGCCUAUGUCUUUGCAUUUUGUUUUUAGCAGGCUUUGCCUGUCGAAGCUUUAGCAAAGGCAGGCGAUGAUGAAAAGGUGAGGUAAGAGCUCACCAGUCCUGAUAGUGAUAUCGGGAGCUUGGUAAACCCUGUUGGUUGAAAGGUCAUGUAUAUCUCGAUUCCCUUUAUUGGGAGCUGGCUUGCUCGGCCGUUUAUCGAGAGGGGUAGACCGAUUGAGUCUGUUGGUGACAGCAGACCUAGACAAAUGAUAGAACUCCAUUCUUUUGGUUUGGAUGUACAGAAUCCGGCUUAUUGCAUGUUUGAUAC
rnacentral:RNase_P_RNA from 1 species